rnacentral:rRNA from 1 species
UACGGGGGGGGCAAGCGUUGUUCGGAAUUACUGGGCGUAAAGGGCUCGUAGGCGGCCAACUAAGUCAGACGUGAAAUCCCUCGGCUUAACCGGGGAACUGCGUCUGAUACUGGUUGGCUUGAAUCCGGGAGAGGGAUGUGGAAUUCCAGGUGUAACGGUGAAAUGCGUAGAUAUCUGGAGGAACACCGGUGGCGAAGGCGGCAUCCUGGACCGGUAUUGACGCUGAGGAGCGAAAGCCAGGGGAGCAAACGGG